AUUUGUAACCCCUUUUUUUAAUACCAAAAAAAUUCCUGUUUUAAAUAUAGAUGAAAGGGGCUAUCUUAAGAUUCAUGGGACCAUCAUCAGCUCAAGCCACAAACAUGGUUACAAACCUUUGCCUGUUUGGAACCAAUAGUCUAAAUAAUUUCCCAGUUAACUUUAAAUCCCCAUGGCCAUCUGGUCCUAUUCUUGAGGUGUUAAAAGCAAAUACUACAGAAAAUGGUGGGAUGAUAAAGGAAAGAAAAGCAUUAAAGAACACUGAACACACCUUGUUUACAUGUAACAGAUAAUGAGCCACAUUUUUACUGAAACUUCUAAUUACCACCAUUCUAUUUCAUCAGCUGUUUAGCUGGUACCUACUGCCAUUUCACCUAGACUGAAAAUUCUGAAUUAAUGGAAUGUGGAGGAAAUUGUGCUGCUGAUGGCCCCAGGUGGCCUUUUAGUUCUGAAAGUGAAUGCUAGAAAGAUGGACCAUUAUACUGAAUGAGAAAGAAAUGAGGACUGAGUGAAAAACCUAAGGGUCUGAGAUAAGAACAGUCAAACUUAAGAAAAGAACCAGACCAGUGAGGUGGAGGCUACCCAGGAAGAGCCACAGAAUCGUACACAGGUAAUUAAAAAUUGCUGGUCUUCAUUCAAGGAAGUUUUAACAGCUGACAACUUUUUGGUUAAUUAAAAAGGGAAUUCUUUAUGACUUUACCAAGAAGCUGGUCUUAGAUGAAGUAAAACAACUAUUCCUGAAGGGGUGGCUUUACAAUUUCCUAAAGUGCACCAAACCUUUCAGAGUAGACAGAUACAAAUUCCAGUCGGCACUAGCCUGGCAUCUCUAGUAAGACAAAAAAAAUAUUCCACAUAGCCACAAUAGUUAAUUUUGAAAAACCACCAGGUAAGUAGUUUUUCUAACUUCUUUUGGUAACACAUUCCCUUAGAGCAGGGCUUUUUGAACUUCUUCCACUUGCCCAAGAAAUUUUUACCUGAUUAUGAGUAUGUAGGUAUAUAAGAUAGGUGUAUAUAUAACCUUUUACUGUUUCCAAAUUUUUUGUGACUUACACAUUCAGUUAUAUGACCCUAUAUGGGAUCACAACCCAGUUUUCUUUUUUUUUUUUGUGUGUGUGUGUGUGAGGCAA